rnacentral:rRNA from 1 species
UUCCGGUUGAUCCUGCCGGACCUGACUGCUAUCGGAUUGAUACUAAGCCAUGCGAGUCAUUGUAGCAAUACAAGGCAGACGGCUCAGUAACGCGUAGUCAACCUAACCUAUGGACGGGAAUAACCUCGGGAAACUGAGAAUAAUGCCCGAUAGAACACUAUACCUGGAAUGGUUUGUGUUCCAAAUGAUUUAUCGCCGUAGGAUGGGACUGCGGCCUAUCAGUUUGUUGGUGAGGUAAUGGCCCACCAAGACUAUUACAGGUACGGGCUCUGAGAGGAGUAGCCCGGAGAUGGGUACUGAGACACGGACCCAGGCCCUAUGGGGCGCAGCAGGCGAGAAAACUUUGCAAUGUGCGAAAGCACGACAAGGUUAAUCCGAGUGGUUUCUGCUAAAGGAACCUUUUGUUAGUCCUAGAAACACUAACGAAUAAGGGGUGGGCAAGUUCUGGUGUCAGCCGCCGCGGUAAAACCAGCACCUCAAGUGGUCAGGAUGAUUAUUGGGCCUAAAGCAUCCGUAGCCGGCUCUGUAGGUUUUCGGUUAAAUCUGUACGCUCAACGUACAGGCCGCCGGGAAUACUGCAGAGCUAGGGAGUGGGAGAGGUAGACGGUACUCGGGAGGAAGUGGUAAAAUGCUUUGAUCUCUCGAUGACCACCUGUGGCGAAGGCGGUCUACCAGAACACGUCCGACGGUGAGGGAUGAAAGCUGGGGGAGCAAACCGGAUU